AAUAAGAUGCCUGAGAUUUUAAAAAGGGCUAUUUUGAUAGAAUAGAUAUUGUAUAAAAUACUCUUAUUG
rnacentral:tRNA from 1 species